CCCUGCCUGGUCAAACUCUUUCGCCUCUGCCUGUCAACAUCUACCUUUCCUUCUUGCUGGAAGUAUGCCUUCAUACAGCCUGUACCUAAGAAGGGUGACCGCUCCAAUCCCUCAAACUACCGUCCUAUUGCUUUACUUUCUUGUCUAUCUAAAGCUUUUGAAUCAAUCCUUAACCGGAAGAUUCAAAAGCACCCUUCCACUUCUGACCUUCUAUCUGAUCGCCAGUAUGGGUUCCGCAAGGGGCGUUCUACUGGUGAUCUCCUAGCCUUCUUAACUGACUCUUGGUCAUCCUCUCUUAGCCGUUUCGGUGAAACUUUUGCUAUUGCGCUGGACAUAUCAAAAGCUUUUGAUAGGGUCUGGCACAAAUCUUUGCUUUCUAAACUACCCUCCUACGGUUUCUAUCCUUCUCUCUGUACCUUUAUCUCCAGUUUCCUUUCUGACCGUUCUAUUUCUGCCGUGGUAGACGGUCACUGUUCUUCCCCUAAAUCUAUUAACAGUGGUGUCCCACAGGGUUCUGUCCUAUCUCCCACUCUUUUUCUGUUGUUCAUUGAUGAUCUUUCCAAAACGAACUGUCCUAUCCAUUCCUACGCCGAUGAUUCCACUCUGCAUUAUUCAACUUCUUUUAAUAGAAGACCCACCCUUCAGGAACUUAACGACUCAAGGCUGGAGGCUGCAGAACGCUUAGCCUCAGACCUAACUAUUAUUUCCGAUUGGGGCAAGAAGAACCUGGCGGCGGAUGCUCAAACGGUCGUAUCUCAACAUUUGGUCCUAAAUCCGCCAUUGUGGUUGCAAGUGCUGCCCCGUGCGAUGUUCAAAAAACGUCCUAGACGCCAUCUUGUGACGUCAGGUCGCCCCUCAGCCUGACUGCUCGGGAGCGGGGCUAGAUCCGACCAGUUUCCGUCCUAGCCCGUCGCCAUUAAAGGAGUGUUUCCGCCUCAUCCACAUCUCCACCUCUAUACACAAUAAUUAUAAGAUGGAGCUUGUUGCGGCAUACAUUUUCAAUCGCAAACUGUGCAGGGAAAGGAGAUAUCGGGACCCACUCAACGCACUACAUGUCAGUGAUGAGCACCUGUUGCAGGUGUAUAGAUUUCCCCGUCAGGAAAUCAUCAGGCUCUGUGAUGAGUUUCGCCCCCACCUGGAAAGGAGAACCAGGAGGGCACAUGCACUCCCAACACACACCCAGGAGACACUGCGUAUCCUCUGGAGCCAUUCCUGAUGACCCCAGUUGCACGGCCGACAACACCUGGGGAGGAGCGCUACAACAAGUCAUCACAGGACAAGAUGCGUUGUCGAACGGACCUUUGGGAUCCUCAAGUCAAGGUGCAGGUGCCUACAUAAGUCAGGAGGAAGUUUGCAGUAUGACCCCAAGAAGACUAUGAAGAUUGCGACUUCUUGUAUGCUCCUGCACAACUACUGAGUGGAUCGCUGCAGAAGAAGUAACAGUUCAGCCUGUGAGAAACAACAGACUGAUUCCUGGUCAAGUUGUCAGGCAGGAAUUUAUUAGAAACUUCUUUUCCUGAGUAUAGAUUGCAUAUGGUGCACUGGUGGCCGAGUGGUCAGCGUGUGUAUGUGGUGAUCCAGAGGACUCGACUCCCACCGCAAGACGCUGAGAGUUUUCAACCAUUGACAAGUGGCGGAGGGUUACCAACAUGCUGCCCGGCAGAUUUUCAGUCAACCCUAACUUCAGUGUCUUUGAUCAAGAGGGGCACCACCUCCACACCACUCAUUCUUAUCACCUAGUUUGAUACCCUACUUGUCCAUCUCACAUGCCCCAUGUAUCUCAGCAUUCUGCACUCUUGGCUCCAUGUCAUCCUCUCCAACUUGUUGGUUCGUAUAGCAUAACCGGCCUCACAUACAUAGAAGUGUUCAAUAUACCUAGGCUAUAAUAUUAUAUUUAAGGACUCUUAUACGAGGUAUCGCCCCAGACAGAGGUGUCGAAGUAAGUCUGUCUGAUGGUAGGCUGGCUGACUGCUGUCGGGACCCAAGCCAGCAUGCCCUGGGGGUUGUGUGCGGGAGGAGGAAAGAGGGAAAAGGACAAAUGGUGUGUGUGUCAUUAUCAGGGGUAACCACGGUGGAGUGCAAACACUCAGUAGUUGUAGUCAAGGCUUAAUUAAGUUGAUGAGUGGUGUUAGACUGAAUGAGCAGGUUUUUUACCACAUGUUAGUGGGAACACUUGAUAGGUUUUGUUUGUGUGUUGGUGCUACUUGUUUCUUGUGUUUACAUGUUAGUUUAUAAUUAGACUGAGUUCUAAGUGUUAUGAGCGACAAUUUAGUCUUGUAUGGCUGAAUCCUGUCCCUUGACCCUUAAUUCAUCAUCAGAAUCUUUAAACAAAUAUAUUUACCUUAAGUAAUAUUCUUAAAGUCACGCUGCCCAUAUUAUUUGGCAGAUGAUAACCCUGUAUGCGAUAACGGUGCUUUAUAAGACUUCGUAAAUAAACUACUAAUUUUACUCUCUGGUUUAAGUGAUCAACAAUUAAUUCUACUUUGAGGUAUAAUUAACCAACAUUAUUAAGGAGUGCCCAUGCCAGGCACGACAUUAAGAAUAUUUUUCUGUUGACCAGCAGACUUACUAUAGUCAAACCAUUUAAAAAUGUCUGUUGAGGCAGUGGCUUCUGCAGGUCCUUUCCUCCCUUCUGCUUUGCCACACAGUUCCAAUUACCUAUUUCCUCUGUUUCCCGUCCCCUCUUUCACAAACUGGGCACCUGUAAUGUACCCCUACUUGAUUUACAUUUCUCAGCCCUGAGCAUCUCUUUGUGGCACCACUUAACACUCCCUGUGCACAGGGCAGAGUUAGUAGCCAUUUCUCUUCCACACCAACUACCUUCCUGUAUAUAUGAUUUCUCAGUAAUUACUUUUUUUUUUUUUUUUUUUUACAGCAAAGGAGACAGCUCAAGGGCACAAAAAAGUAAACAUUAAUAAAAAAAGCCCGCUACUCGCUGCUCGCUUGUGCUGUAUUAGCUGUUACAUGCUACAUCAAGCUGUAAUAUCUACCC